UACGAAGGGGGCUAGCGUUGCUCGGAAUCACUGGGCGUAAAGGUGCGUAGGCGGGUUUUUAAGUCAGGGUGAAAUCCUGGAGCUCAACUCCAGAACUGCCUUGAUACUGAAGAUCUUGAGUCCGGGAGAGGUGAGUGGAACUGCGAGUGUAGAGGUGAAAUUCGUAGAUAUUCGCAAGAACACCAGUGGCGAAGGCGGCUCACUGGCCGGUACUGACGCUGAGGCACGAAAGCGUGGGAGCA
rnacentral:rRNA from 1 species